AUACGGAGGAUCCGAGCGUUAUCCGGAUUUAUUGGGUUUAAAGGGUGCGCAGGCGGCCAUUUAAGUCAGCGGUUAAAUCGUGGGGCUCAACCCCAUUCUGCCGUUGAUACUGGGUGGCUUGAUUGCGGUCGAGGUUGGCGGAAUUCGUUGUGUAGCGGUGAAAUGCAUAAAUAUGACGAAGAACACCGAUUGCGUAGGCAGCUGACCAGACCGCAAAUGACGCUCAUGCACGAAAGUGCGGGGAUCGAACAGGAUUAGAUACCCUGGUAGUCCGCACAGUAAACGAUGAAUACUUGUUUUCGGCGAUAUAAUGUCGGAGGCAAAGCGAAAGCGAUAAGUAUUCCACCUGGGGAGUACGCCGGCAACGGUGAAACUCAAAGGAAUUGACGGGG
rnacentral:rRNA from 1 species